UACGUAGGGGGCUAGCGUUGUCCGGAUUUAUUGGGCGUAAAGAGCGUGUAGGCGGCCAGGUAGGUCCGUUGUGAAAACUCGAGGCUCAACCUCGAGACGUCGGCGGAAACCAUCUGGCUAGAGUCCGGAAGAGGAGAGUGGAAUUCCUGGUGUAGCGGUGAAAUGCGCAGAUAUCAGGAGGAACACCAAUGGCGAAGGCAGCUCGCUGGGACGGUACUGACGCUGAGACGCGAAAGCGUGGGGAGCAAACAGG
rnacentral:rRNA from 1 species